UACGUAGGGUGCGAGCGUUAAUCGGAAUUACUGGGCGUAAAGCGUGCGCAGGCGGUUUUGUAAGCCAGAUGUGAAAUCCCCGGGCUUAACCUGGGAAUGGCAUUUGGGACUGCAUGGCUAGAGUGCGGCAGAGGGGGAUGGAAUUCCGCGUGUAGCAGUGAAAUGCGUAGAUAUGCGGAGGAACACCGAUGGCGAAGGCAAUCCCCUGGGCCUGCACUGACGCUCAUGCACGAAAGCGUGGGGAGCAACAGGAU
rnacentral:rRNA from 1 species